GGCUAUGCGGCUGAAGAAUCGCACUGGGGCAACCGAUUUGUGAAAACGAAACGUUUUCGUUUCAUAUAGGAAACGCAACACCGAUGGCAGUUCUUCGACCAACAAGGACUGUCUACGGAGAUGGUCUCCCGGUCCAUGUUGUGGACCCAAUCGACUCAGUUGGACUGUAGCCUGCCUCUGAUGGCUCAGCGACCAAAAAAGUGCGCCAACUGCGCGGAGUGCCAGCGCAAGGACUGGGAGAGCCACCGGGUGGAGUGCGUGCUCUCUGCCACGGAUGCCUCCACCAUCACCGCCUC